UGUUUAUGGUUUUAUAAGAAUGUUCUAAUGAAAUAAAAGUGGAAUUUAAUCMUUUAUAUUUCUGACUGGUUUUCCUGCAGCUGGUUGGACCUGGAACCUGAGGAGCCUGGUCCAGAGAGAGGGAGCGGUGCUGCAGACAGUGGGACUGUCCACAGAUGUCCGUCCAGUCGUUCAUGUCUUGGACACCAGACGUUAACACUUCGUGUUCGGAUCAUCUCGGCUCGGUUCUGAGGACCAGACAUAAGGUUCAACUGACCGGAGACAACAGUAUGGUUUCACCAGCAGARCAUCUCAACAAAAAGAGGUUUGUUUGUUUGUUUGUUUGCUCACGGUCCGACCCGCUCCACAGACGGUUCUGAUGUGACGGAACCAAGAACUCGUGUGAGUCCCAGUUUAUUUUAUCUGAAGUUCAGUUAUCAGGAUAAAAACUGAUCUGGUUAACUCCCUGACACUCAGCGAACACAGGUGUCCAAAAUCCUGCAUCAGUAUUCUGAGGUGGUUCUCUGAGAGGGUUGUGAAGAACAAGUAUCUUACCUGUUGUAGAUCGGAUCAGGUUUCAGCUGUUUACCUGCUUUAACACACCUGAGUUGAGUAAAUGAAACCUCAGAAUGUCAUCAAAUGUAGACGUCUGUCGUUUACUUCAGGUGUGUUGAAGCAGGUARCAGCUGAAGGUCCUGCUUUUAGUUUUAACGUGAUAAUAAAAUAAAGAAUAAAGAACUAAAAGGUUUAAAUGUGAGAUGAUAAAUCAGAAGAAAAUGAGGUGAAAAAAAAGAAAAAGAAAAAUACAAAUCAUUCAUAUUUUAUUAAACUCUUACAAUCCAUUUGAAUAAAUGAUCGUUUAAUUUAACAGGAAAUGUGCUAAAAAAAUAAAAGAAAUAAUAUCUGCUUGUUACAUGUUUUAGGUCUCAAAUUUAAAUAAAAUCAAACAUCCUGAACCCCACGUUGAAUGAAACAGAAAAUUCAAUUAAAUAAAUAACAAAAAGAUAGAUCUGGAGCUAACUCCAACGUUUUCCAGCUUUACGUCGGUUCGCUGGCUGCUUUUAUUUAUUUAUUUAUUUAUUUAUUUAUUUCAAACACAAACUGAUGAAAGCUGGAGGGAAUCUUUCUGAUUUCAGUCUUAUUUAGCUCCAGGUGGAGCAAAAACAAAAUCAGCCGAGGAGGGAAGGAGCAGAAACAUGGUCGCAGACGAAACGCUGAGUCGGCGAGAAUUUGAGUGAUAAAAAUAAAAACAUUUCCUUCAGGAAAACAAACUUAGUUUUAAAACAGCAGCACAAAUCAGACACGCCUCAGAUUAAUUUCAUGUUAAAUCUGGUGGAUUAGAUUAAAUCCCUGCAGGGAAUGCCCAUCACCCAACAGUUUCAGUUACAGUUAGUGAUGUGWUGGAGGUCACCCUCAGCUACUACCACAACAAACUUCAGCUCAUUAUCUGACUGAGUUGUCGUCUUUUUCCUGUUUGCUAAGAUCAAUCAGCUGCGGCGGCCAUUUUUAAUCAGGCCAGCAGCUGCAGAAGCUCAUCCAACAGUAACUCAGAGGAUCAGAACUAGAGUCACGGCUGAAGUUCAGCCCAGAUUCAUCCAAACAUUUCUAAUAAAUAUUUAUUUGUCUGUUUGGUCGUUCCUCUAACUGCAGGUCACCUUAUUUAAACCAGAAAACAACCAAACAUCUACUGUUGUUCCUCAAACCGACCAGCAUCUUUAGUGUCAGAACCAGAACCGGCUGCAGGGACAAACGACUCAGGACCAGGAGGAGCUGSUCUGGGUUUCCCUCCUGGACCCGUCCACAGAAUCAGAACCACUCAGCUGCCACUCCACGUCUGUAAACUACUAAAAAAAUAACUAAAAGUAAAAUUACAUGAACAGAAAAUGACUUUGGUAAAAA